rnacentral:rRNA from 1 species
AUUGAACGCUGGCGGCAGGCCUAACACAUGCAAGUCGAGCGGAGCGGCGGACGGGUGAGUAAUGCCUAGGAAUCUGCCUGGUAGUGGGGGAUAACGUCCGGAAACGGGCGCUAAUACCGCAUAAUAUAAGAUGAGCCUAGGUAGGGUUAGCUAGUUGUGGGGGUAAAGGCCUACCAAGGCGACGACCCGUAACUGGUCUUAGAGGAUGAUCAGUCACAUUGGAACUGAGACACGGUCCAUACUCCUACGGGAGGCAGCAGUGGGGAAUAUUGCACACUGGGCGCAAGCCUGAUACAGCCAUGCCGCGUGUAUGAAGAAGGCCUUCGGGUUGUAAAGUACUUUCAGCGGGGAGGCGUUACCCGCAGAAGAAGCACCGGCUAACUCCGUGCCAGCCGCCGCGGUAAUUC